rnacentral:rRNA from 1 species
UUGAGAAUUUUUCACAAUGGGCGAAAGCCUGAUGGAGCGACGCCGCGUGGGGGAUGAAUGGCUUCGGCCCGUAAACCCCUGUCAUUCGCGAGCAAACGUUAUUAUUUAAAAGAUGAUAGCCUGAUAGUAGCGAAAGAGGAAGGGACAGCUAACUCUGUGCCAGCAGCCGCGGUAAUACAGAGGUCCCAAGCGUUGUUCGGAUUUACUGGGCGUAAAGGGUGCGUAGGUGGUGGGGUAAGUCGGAUGUGAAAUCUCCGAGCUCAGCUCGGAAAGUGCAUUGGAAACUACCCUGCUCGAGGGUUGGAGGGGGGACUGGAAUACUUGGUGUAGCAGUGAAAUGCGUAGAUAUCAAGUGGAACACCAGUGGCGAAGGCGAGUCCCUGGACAACUCCUGACACUGAGGCACGAAAGCUAGGGGAGCAAACAG